UACGGAGGGUGCAAGCGUUAUCCGGAUUCACUGGGCUUAAAGGGUGCGUAGGCGGGUUGGUAAGUCCGUGGUGAAAUCUCCAAGCUUAACUUGGAAACUGCCGUGGAUACUAUCAAUCUUGAAUAUAGUGGAGGUGAGCGGAAUUUGUCGUGUAGCGGUGAAAUGCUUAGAGAUGAGGUAGAACACCCAUUGCGAAGGCAGCUCGCUGGACUAUUAUUGACGCUGAGGCACGAAAGCGUGGGGAUCAAACAGG
rnacentral:rRNA from 1 species